UACGAAGGGUGCAAGCGUUACUCGGAAUUACUGGGCGUAAAGCGUGCGUAGGUGGUGAGUUAAGUCUGUCGUGAAAGCCCCGGGCUCAACCUGGGAAUGGCGAUGGAUACUGGCUCGCUAGAGUGCGGUAGAGGAGAGUGGAAUUCCCGGUGUAGCAGUGAAAUGCGUAGAGAUCGGGAGGAACAUCAGUUGCGAAGGCGGCUCUCUGGACCAGCACUGACACUGAGGCACGAAAGCGUGGGUAGCAAACAGG
rnacentral:rRNA from 1 species